AGGGAAUCUUCCGCAAUGGACGAAAGUCUGACGGAGCAACGCCGCGUGAACGAUGAAGGCUUUCGGGUCGUAAAGUUCUGUUGUCAGGGAAGAACAAGUACCGGAGUAACUGCCGGUACCUUGACGGUACCUGACCAGAAAGCCACGGCUAACUACGUGCCAGCAGCCGCGGUAAUACGUAGGUGGCAAGCGUUGUCCGGAAUUAUUGGGCGUAAAGCGCGCGCAGGCGGUUCCUUAAGUCUGAUGUGAAAGCCCCCGGCUCAACCGGGGAGGGUCAUUGGAAACUGGGGAACUUGAGUGCAGAAGAGGAGAGCGGAAUUCCACGUGUAGCGGUGAAAUGCGUAGAGAUGUGGAGGAACACCAGUGGCGAAGGCGGCUCUCUGGUCUGUAACUGACGCUGAGGCGCGAAAGCGUGGGGAGCGAAC
rnacentral:rRNA from 1 species